rnacentral:rRNA from 1 species
UUUUAGUGGCGGACGGGUGAGUAACGCGUGGGUAACCUGCCUCACACUGGGGGAUAACACUUAGAAAUAGGUGCUAAUACCGCAUAAGCGCACGGGACUGCAUGGUCUUGUGUGAAAAACUCCGGUGGUGUGAGAUGGACCCGCGUCUGAUUAGCUGGUUGGCGGGGUAACGGCCCUCCAAGGCGACGAUCAGUAGCCGGCCUGAGAGGGUGGACGGCCACAUUGGGACUGAGACACGGCCCAAACUCCUACGGAAGGCAGCAG